GAAGCUCGCCAAGACCGCCGCUGGUGCAAUCUGGGAAACCAGGCACUGGAGGAACGUCCGGACUGCACAGGGCAGCGUAGCAGCUAAUGGCUGUCCACCGUGAGGUGAGGAUCAGAGCAACAGAGACGAGUCAGGUCGGGCAAAAGCCCGACUUGGGUGAAACGGGCAAUCUCUACGCGCAGCAAUACCAAGUAGGCCAACGUUGACGGGGCCCCCGGAGUUGGCGGGUAGGUAGCAUCGAGCCGGGUGGGCGACCCCCGGCCCAGAUUAAUGGCGGUCACGUUCCCGGCGCUGCAAGGUGCUGGGAAUGCACAGAAUCCGGCUUAUCGGCGAGCUUCACAC
rnacentral:RNase_P_RNA from 2 species